UAAGGUGAUUACAGCAAUGGGGCUCACCUCUUACCAUUCCGAACAGAGAAGUUAAGCCCAUUUGCGCCGAUGGUACUGCCACAGGUGGGAGAGUAGGUCGUUGCCUUUC
rnacentral:rRNA from 1 species